CAUAUUUAUUGAGCGUUAUUUUUGGUUACUAAUAGUUGUGGAUAGGAUUUGUGUCUACUGGUUUGUCCUAUUUGAGGUCCUUUACCUCUCCUUUGUCAAAGAGAAGCAUUGGGAACACACAAUGGGCGACAUAGCUCAGGAGACAGACUCCCUGCAGCAGCUAUAAAGAUGUGCAAGCCUCCAGCGCGACACUUGCACAGCACAAGGAAUCUGAUUAAGUACUGACUGAGAGGAGGCACUGGCUGCCUGCAUGUGCUUC